rnacentral:lncRNA from 1 species
AAAAGAAUGAAUAGUAGGAAUGAGGUAGAAUUAAUAUGGGAAAGUGAUACAUUUCUAAAUACACAUUUUUUUUGCAUUUUUCACUUUUUGGAGCCAUGUCAAUAUUUAGUAAGUCAGAAAACGUUUAUUUAAAAAGACUGAGGAAUGAGAAAAUCUACAAUGGAAGAUGAACAAAACCAAAGGAAUUCAACUGUAUUUUAAAUAUGAGACUGGUCUUGGCAGGUAAAGGCCUUCCCCAGCCAGAUGCUCAGCCUAAUGGGACUGCCGAGAGGAUCACAGUUGAAUGGAGCUGGAGUAAGUCACAGGUCUGUUGUUGGGCCUGCAGUUGAGUUUACAUUUGGCAGGCCUGUUAUCAAGCACAUGGUCAGGUAUGGUUCCUGCCAAAUCAACAGGUGGACAGGACUACCUCUUGGACCACAGGUAGGUAAGACUAGAGGCAGAUUAUUAGGCCUAUUACAUGUUUACUAUGAGGUCCUCCCAGAAUGGGCCUGUUGCUAGUGGUGCAUGCAGUUCAGAAGGCUCCUGCCAGAUCCCUAAGCAGGCUCUUGUUGGAUCAAUGGAAAGGUCCCAGGACAAGCAAGCAGGACUGCCUCUGGGACUGUGAUGGGGUGUGGUUGGGGCUGAGUAACAGGGCUGCUUCAGGGUCCACAGUUGGAUCCAAGGUUGGUAAGCCUGUUACUGAGGGUCCUGAUUGGCAUAGAUCUCACCAAGUCCCUGAUCAGAGAGGAUUACCUAUAGACCAUGAUAGAGUGGGACUGAAGCCAGGUCAAAGGGCUGCUUCAACAGCCCUACCACAGUCAAGUUUGAGAUUAAUGGGCAUGUUAUCAGGGACAUGGACAGGAGUGUUUCCUGUUGGGUCCCUGGACAGGUUGGUCUGUGCCUAGACUGUAGUUGAACAGGGCCACAGGCUGAUUUAGGGUCUGCAGUCAGAUCAAGGUUGGUGGACCUGUUACUGAGGACAUGGACAGGUAUGUCUCCCACCAGGCCCUGAGUGGGCAGGGCUGUCCCAAGACAGCAGCAGAACAAGUCUAGAACCAAGUCUCAGGAAUGCUUUAAGGUCCACAGCCAGGACUGUGAGCCUGCUACCACGGACACAGACAGGUGUUGCUGGAUCCCUGGAUAGGCAGGGCUUACUCUAUAACUCAUUAUAGAGUAGGACUGGAGCUGGGUCACAGAGCUCCUUCAGAAUCCACAGUUAGGACUGGAGUCAGUGAGCCUGUUCCUAGGGAUACAGAUGAGCUUCUCUCCCACUGGCUCCCUGGGUAUGUAGAACAGCCACUAGACUGUGGUAGAGAAGGGCUACAACGGGAUUACAUAGCUGCUGCAAAGUCCACAGCCAAAAAUGGAGUCAGAAGUCCUGUUAGUGGGGAUGCAGAUGAAUGUGUUUUUCUCUGGGUCUCUUAGAAGAGAAGGCUAGUUGCAGGACCAUGGCAAAGUACCGUUGGAGCCAAGUCCAUAGGGAGACAGAACUGCUUUCAGUCUGGGGCUAAGACCACAUUCAGUGAGACUGCCACCAAGGCACAGUCCUGCAUACUCAAAGCAGUCCUCCUCUAUCUUGGGCUUCUCUGGUAUUUCACAGCAUUCUACCUAAAUGUCAGAGCUACUACUGAGAAGGCAUUUUUGUUGGAGAGUGACUGCCAGAUCAUUGUUUGUGCAGAAGAGAUGUGAGCUGAGAUACCUCUUAU